rnacentral:piRNA from 1 species
UUCAAUAUCAUGAUGUGCAGCUCUGUUA